rnacentral:tRNA from 1 species
AAGUUUUAAGUUAAAAUAAAACUAGUAACCUUCAAAGUUAAAAAUAUUCCAUUAAACUUUGA